rnacentral:tRNA from 1 species
GGAGAGAUGGCCGAGCGGUCGAAGGCGCACGCCUGGAGAGCGUGUAUACGUGAAAACGUAUCGUGGGUUCGAAUCCCACUCUCUCCGCCA